rnacentral:rRNA from 1 species
AUUGAACGCUGGCGGCAGGCCUAACACAUGCAAGUCGAGCGGAUGAAGGGAGCUUGCUCCUGGAUUCAGCGGCGGACGGGUGAGUAAUGCCUAGGAAUCUGCCUGGUAGUGGGGGAUAACGUCCGGAAACGGGCGCUAAUACCGCAUACGUCCAGAGGGAGAAAGUGGGGGAUCUUCGGACCUCACGCUAUCAGCUGAGCCUAGGUCGGAUUAGCUAGUUGGUGGGGUAAAGGCCUACCAAGGCGACGAUCCGUAACUGGUCUGAGAGGAUGAUCAGUCACACUGGAACUGAGACACGGUCCAGACUCCUACGGGAGGCAGCAGUGGGGAAUAUUGGACAAUGGGCGAAAGCCUGAUCCAGCCAUGCCGCGUGUGUGAAGAAGGUCUUCGGAUUGUAAAGCACUUUAAGUUGGGAGGAAGGGCAGUAAGUUAAUACCUUGCUGUUUUGACGUUACCAACAGAAUAAGCACCGGCUAACUUCGUG